rnacentral:rRNA from 1 species
UACGGGGGAGACAGUCAUGAGACGUGAGUAUAAGACCUGAGUGUAAAGACCUUAGGGUGAAGCAAUUGGAGGGCAAGCUUUGGUGCCAGCAGCCGCGGUAACUCCAACUCCAAGAGUGUCUAUGGUGGAUGCUGCAGUUAAAGGGUCCGUAGUCGUGAAUGCAAUUAAAUGUCGUUGUUCAAUAGCGAUGAGUUUGCUAAUGUUUGCGGAACGGAUAGGGAGUGUAGUAUAGACUGGCGAAGAAUGAAAUCUCAAGACCCAGUUUGGACUAACGGAGGCGAAGGCGACACUCUUAGACGUAUCUUAGGAUCAAGGACGAAGGCAGGAGUAUCGAAAGUGAUUAGACACCGCUGUAGUUCCUGCAGUAAACUAUGCCGACAGCCUGUGUGUGAGAAUACGUGGGCGGGAGAAAUCUUAGUGUUCGGGCUCUGGGGAUAGUACGCUCGCAAGGGUGAAACUUAAAGCGAAAUUGACGGAAGGACACUACCAGGAGUGGAUUGUGCUGCUUAAUUUAACUCAACGCGGGAAAACUUACCAGGGUCAAGUCAUUCGUUGAUCGAAUACGUGAGAAU